UCCAGACUCCUACGGGAGGCAGCAGUGGGGAAUAUUGCACAAUGGGGGAAACCCUGAUGCAGCGACGCCGCGUGAGUGAAGAAGUAAUUCGUUAUGUAAAGCUCUAUCAGCAGGGAAGAAAAUGACGGUACCUGACUAAGAAGCACCGGCUAAAUACGUGCCAGCAGCCGCGGUAAUACGUAUGGUGCAAGCGUUAUCCGGAUUUACUGGGUGUAAAGGGAGCGCAGGCGGUACGGCAAGUCUGAUGUGAAAGCCCGGGGCUCAACCCCGGUACUGCAUUGGAAACUGUCGGACUAGAGUGUCGGAGGGGUAAGUGGAAUUCCUAGUGUAGCGGUGAAAUGCGUAGAUAUUAGGAGGAACACCAGUGGCGAAGGCGGCUUACUGGACGAUUACUGACGCUGAGGCUCGAAAGCGUGGGGAGCAAACAGGAUUAGAUACCCUAGUAAAC
rnacentral:rRNA from 1 species